CAGUCGCCGCGGUAAAACAGAGGAUGCAAGCGUUAUCCGGAAUGAUUGGGCGUAAAGCGUCUGUAGGUGGCUUUUCAAGUCAGUCGUCAAAUCCCUGGGCUCAACCCUGGACAAGCAGUGGAAACUACCAAGCUGGAGUAUAGUAGGGGCAGAGUGAAUUUCCGGUGGAGCGAUGAAAUGCGUUGAGAUCAGAAAGGACACCAACGGCGAAAGCACUCUGCUGGGCCGACACUGACACUGAGAGACGAAAGCUAGGGGAGCAAAUGGGAUUAGAUACCCCCGUAGUCCCUGUCUCUUAUAC
rnacentral:rRNA from 1 species